rnacentral:ncRNA from 1 species
CGCAAUCCGUUGGGGCGCCCCGCAAGGGGGCUGAGAGGUCUUGGACCGACCCAUCGAACCUGAUCCGGGUCAUGCCGGCGUAGGGAACGGAGCGAAGCGCGGC